rnacentral:rRNA from 1 species
GAUGAACGCUGGCGGCGUGCCUAAUACAUGCAAGUCGAGCGAACAGACGAGGAGCUUGCUUCUCUGACGUUAGCGGCGGACGGGUGAGUAACACGUGGAUAACCUACCUAUAAGACUGGGAUAACUUCGGGAAACCGGAGCUAAUACCGGAUAAUAUAUUGAACCGCAUGGUUCAAUAGUGAAAGACGGUCUUGCUGUCACUUAUAGAUGGAUCCGCGCUGCAUUAGCUAGUUGGUAAGGUAACGGCUUACCAAGGCAACGAUGCAUAGCCGACCUGAGAGGGUGAUCGGCCACACUGGAACUGAGACACGGUCCAGACUCCUACGGGAGGCAGCAGUAGGGAAUCUUCCGCAAUGGGCGAAAGCCUGACGGAGCAACGCCGCGUGAGUGAUGAAGGUCUUCGGAUCGUAAAACUCUGUUAUUAGGGAAGAACAAAUGUGUAAGUAACUAUGCACGUCUUGACGGUACCUAAUCAGAAAGCCACGGCUAACUACGUG